CCCCUCUCAGGGUCGCACCUGGAGAGUUUCCAGUCCUCUACCAGUCUCGGCUAUAGGAGGGAGAGUCUAGCAGAGGCCUAUCCGUUCCAUUCCUAGCAUAGGCAGUGACUAGUAAGUGGAAGACAAUCUGCUACGAGU